rnacentral:rRNA from 1 species
AUGUUUAUGAACCUUUGUUCCAUUGCAUCAUUGGCUGCAUGGAACAAGGAGUUCUGCUCCUAUCUUCCUAAAAAGGGGAUACAGCUAAGUGGAAACCGAUGGGUUUGCUUACCCAGGGUGUCCAACUGUCGGAUCAGCCGGACAAGAUCUCGUGGCUUUGGACAGCUGAUGGCUCUUACACGGCGGCAUCUGCGUACAAGAUUCAGUUCAUGGGAAGUACAUCCUCAAACCUGGAGGAGCUCAUCUGGAAAACUCCAGUACCGGCAAAGCAGAAGCUCUCGGCUUGGAUGUGUAUUUCAAGAUCGCUGUCUGACAGCGGAUAAGCUCGCCAAGAGGGGCUGGCAGCAUAAAUGGUCUGCGGCGAUUACCCUGGUUUGUUGGUUCAUUUGGACUGUGCGGAUCUUUGAUGGGGUGGCCUGCAGCGCUGCUCGGGUAAUGUGCGAGAGUGAGGAAGAACUGUCGGAAUGGGGAAGCGCCCGGAUCAGCGGUGCGCUAUUACUGUCGCAUAUUCAUCCAUGA